UGCAGUCGAGCGCGCCCUUCGGGGUGAGCGGCGGACGGGUUAGUAACGCGUGGGAACAUACCCUUUUCUACGGAAUAGCCUCUGGAAACGGAGAGUAAUACCGUAUGAGCCCUUCGGGGGAAAGAUUUAUCGGGAAAGGAUUGGCCCGCGUUAGAUUAGGUAGUUGGUGGGGUAAUGGCCUACCAAGCCUACGAUCUAUAGCUGGUUUUAGAGGAUGAUCAGCAACACUGGGACUGAGACACGGCCCAGACUCCUACGGGAGGCAGCAGUGGGGAAUCUUGGACAAUGGGGGCAACCCUGAUCCAGCCAUGCCGCGUGAGUGAUGAAGGCCUUAGGGUCGUAAAGCUCUUUCGCCUGUGAAGAUAAUGACGGUAGCAGGUAAAGAAACCCCGGCUAACUCCGUGCCAGCAGCCGCGGUAAUACGGAGGGGGUUAGCGUUGUUCGGAAUUACUGGGCGUAAAGCGCACGUAGGCGGACUGGAAAGUAUGGGGUGAAAUCCCAGGGCUCAACCCUGGAACUGCCUCAUAAACUAUCAGUCUAGAGUUCGAGAGAGGUGAGUGGAAUUCCAAGUGUAGAGGUGAAAUUCGUAGAUAUUUGGAGGAACACCAGUGGCGAAGGCGGCUCACUGGCUCGAUACUGACGCUGAGGUGCGAAAGUGUGGGGAGCAAACAGGAUUAGAUACCCUGGUAGUCCACACCGUAAACGAUGAAUGCCAGUCGUCGGGUAGCAUGCUAUUCGGUGACACACCUAACGGAUU
rnacentral:rRNA from 1 species